rnacentral:rRNA from 1 species
AGCGAACGCUGGCGGCAGGCUUAACACAUGCAAGUCGAGCGGGCGUAGCAAUACGUCAGCGGCAGACGGGUGAGUAACGCGUGGGAACAUACCUUUUGGUUCGGAACAACACAGGGAAACUUGUGCUAAUACCGGAUAAGCCCUUACGGGGAAAGAUUUAUCGCCGAAAGAUUGGCCCGCGUCUGAUUAGCUAGUUGGUGAGGUAACGGCUCACCAAGGCGACGAUCAGAGCUGGUCUGAGAGGAUGAUCAGCCACAUUGGGACUGAGACACGGCCCAAACUCCUACGGGAGGCAGCAGUGGGGAAUAUUGGACAACGGGCGCAAGCCUGAUCCAGCCAUGCCGCGUGAGUGA